GUGAAGGCAGGUGAUAUUUGUCGAUAAAUGAUAUGCAUCUGCUGCUGAAAUUUUGUCUGGGAUGUUCUUUUGUAGUGGGAUGUUGUGCUGUACCAGCAGAUCCUGGGGGGGAUCCAGAUUGCUUGUCGGUUGUUUGCAUCGCGACUAAUUGUAUCAACCCAUAUACGCCGCCCAACCAGUGCUGUCCUAUUUGCAGAUCAAAGCCAGUUUCAGGAUGCAUCGUCAAUGGCGUGCAGUACAGUGAAGGUGCCACUGUGAACGAGUUGGCACUGGCAGGUCCGUGUCAAGUAUGCACGUGUCUCAACAGAGCUGUGCAGUGCAAUAUAAUGUCGUGCGCGGCCUGCGAUGGAGAAAUUCCGCCCGGUCAGUGCUGUCCAUCUUGUAAUGGUGGACCUAUUUUCGGACCGUGAAGAACGCCGAUUGAAAAAAAUGCGUGUGUUUGAACUGUCUUACAUAUAACAACCGAGACACAAGAAAACACGACUAUGCUUACUGUUUUUUUAUCAAUAAACUGAUGAAAUUAUAUCUUAUGUAUUUUACGUAGGUUAAUGUAGUGUUAACGGAAACGUUUGUUUACAAGUGAAAUUCACGCAGUUUGCAUGUCCUAUUGUUCGUAGACAUUUCAAAAUUAAUUUUCGAAAAUAGUAAUGCACAACAUGGUAAAACCUACACUUCCUUAUGGUUUUAAAAUCACGUGUAACAUUGUUAUAAUUGAAAAUAAUACUGACGCUGUACAUCAA